rnacentral:rRNA from 1 species
CACCGAGGUCAGGACACGGGUAAGGAUUGACGGACUGAAGGCUCUUUCUCGAUUCCGUGGAAAGUGGUGCAUGGCCGUUUUUGGUUGGUGGAUCGAUCCGUCUGGUUAAUUCCGUUAACGAACGAGACCUCGGCACUCCGAAUAGCGCGGCGGACGUCGCGGCCUCCGGGCCGUCUUCCGCACGAGCUUCUUAGAGGGACCGUCCCCCGCCGGGGAAGGAGGUGCGAGGCAACGACAGGUCUGUGAUGCCCUUAGAUGUUCUGGGCCGCACGCGCAUUACACUGACGCGUCCAACGGGUGACUCCCGACCCGAAGGGGCCGGGGAAUCCGCAAGGCGCGUCGUGAUGGGGAUUGAACGUUGCAAUUGUUGUUCACGAACGAGGAAUUCCUAGUAGGCGCGGGUCAUCAACCCGCGCCGAUUACGUCCCUGCCCCUUUGUACACACCGCG